rnacentral:rRNA from 1 species
GGUUAAGCGACUAAGCGUACACGGUGGAUGCCCUGGCAGUCAGAGGCGAUGAAGGACGUGCUAAUCUGCGAUAAGCGUCGGUAAGGUGAUAUGAACCGUUAUAACCGGCGAUUUCCGAAUGGGGAAACCCAGUGUGAUUCGUCACACUAUCAUUAACUGAAUCCAUAGGUUAAUGAGGCGAACCGGGGGAACUGAAACAUCUAAGUACCCCGAGGAAAAGAAAUCAACCGAGAUUCCCCCAGUAGCGGCGAGCGAACGGGGAGGAGCCCAGAGCCUGAAUCAGUAUGUGUGUUAGUGGAAGCGUCUGGAAAGGCGCGCGAUACAGGGUGACAGCCCCGUACACAAAAAUGCACAUGCUGUGAGCUCGAUGAGUAGGGCGGGACACGUGGUAUCCUGUCUGAAUAUGGGGGGACCAUCCUCCAAGGCUAAAUACUCCUGACUGACCGAUAGUGAACCAGUACCGUGAGGGAAAGGCGAAAAGAACCCCGGCGAGGGGAGUGAAAAAGAACCUGAAACCGUGUACGUACAAGCAGUGGGAGCACAGAGCAAUCUGUGUGACUGCGUACCUUUUGUAUAAUGGGUCAGCGACUUAUAUUCUGUAGCAAGGUUAACCGAAUAGGGGAGCCGAAGGGAAACCGAGUCUUAACUGGGCGUUAAGUUGCAGGGUAUAGACCCGAAACCCGGUGAUCUAGCCAUGGGCAGGUUGAAGGUUGGGUAACACUAACUGGAGGACCGAACCGACUAAUGUUGAAAAAUUAGCGGAUGACUUGUGGCUGGGGGUGAAAGGCCAAUCAAACCGGGAGAUAGCUGGUUCUCCCCGAAAGCUAUUUAGGUAGCGCCUCGUGAAUUCAUCUCCGGGGGUAGAGCACUGUUUCGGCAAGGGGGUCAUCCCGACUUACCAACCCGAUGCAAACUGCGAAUACCGGAGAAUGUUAUCACGGGAGACACACGGCGGGUGCUAACGUCCGUCGUGAAGAGGGAAACAACCCAGACCGCCAGCUAAGGUCCCAAAGUCAUGGUUAAGUGGGAAACGAUGUGGGAAGGCCCAGACAGCCAGGAUGUUGGCUUAGAAGCAGCCAUCAUUUAAAGAAAGCGUAAUAGCUCACUGGUCGAGUCGGCCUGCGCGGAAGAUGUAACGGGGCUAAACCAUGCACCGAAGCUGCGGCAGCGACGCUGAUGCGUUGUUGGGUAGGGGAGCGUUCUGUAAGCCUGUGAAGGUGUGCUGUGAGGCAUGCUGGAGGUAUCAGAAGUGCGAAUGCUGACAUAAGUAACGAUAAAGCGGGUGAAAAGCCCGCUCGCCGGAAGACCAAGGGUUCCUGUCCAACGUUAAUCGGGGCAGGGUGAGUCGACCCCUAAGGCGAGGCCGAAAGGCGUAGUCGAUGGGAAACAGGUUAAUAUUCCUGUACUUGGUGUUACUGCGAAGGGGGGACGGAGAAGGCUAUGUUGGCCGGGCGACGGUUGUCCCGGUUUAAGCGUGUAGGCUGGUUUUCCAGGCAAAUCCGGAAAACUAAGGCUGAGGCGUGAUGACGAGGCACUACGGUGCUGAAGCAACAAAUGCCCUGCUUCCAGGAAAAGCCUCUAAGCAUCAGGUAACAUCAAAUCGUACCCCAAACCGACACAGGUGGUCAGGUAGAGAAUACCAAGGCGCUUGAGAGAACUCGGGUGAAGGAACUAGGCAAAAUGGUGCCGUAACUUCGGGAGAAGGCACGCUGAUAUGUAGGUGAAGUCCCUCGCGGAUGGAGCUGAAAUCAGUCGAAGAUACCAGCUGGCUGCAACUGUUUAUUAAAAACACAGCACUGUGCAAACACGAAAGUGGACGUAUACGGUGUGACGCCUGCCCGGUGCCGGAAGGUUAAUUGAUGGGGUCAGCGCAAGCGAAGCUCUUGAUCGAAGCCCCGGUAAACGGCGGCCGUAACUAUAACGGUCCUAAGGUAGCGAAAUUCCUUGUCGGGUAAGUUCCGACCUGCACGAAUGGCGUAAUGAUGGCCAGGCUGUCUCCACCCGAGACUCAGUGAAAUUGAACUCGCUGUGAAGAUGCAGUGUACCCGCGGCAAGACGGAAAGACCCCGUGAACCUUUACUAUAGCUUGACACUGAACAUUGAGCCUUGAUGUGUAGGAUAGGUGGGAGGCUUUGAAGUGUGGACGCCAGUCUGCAUGGAGCCGACCUUGAAAUACCACCCUUUAAUGUUUGAUGUUCUAACGUUGACCCGUAAUCCGGGUUGCGGACAGUGUCUGGUGGGUAGUUUGACUGGGGCGGUCUCCUCCUAAAGAGUAACGGAGGAGCACGAAGGUUGGCUAAUCCUGGUCGGACAUCAGGAGGUUAGUGCAAUGGCAUAAGCCAGCUUGACUGCGAGCGUGACGGCGCGAGCAGGUGCGAAAGCAGGUCAUAGUGAUCCGGUGGUUCUGAAUGGAAGGGCCAUCGCUCAACGGAUAAAAGGUACUCCGGGGAUAACAGGCUGAUACCGCCCAAGAGUUCAUAUCGACGGCGGUGUUUGGCACCUCGAUGUCGGCUCAUCACAUCCUGGGGCUGAAGUAGGUCCCAAGGGUAUGGCUGUUCGCCAUUUAAAGUGGUACGCGAGCUGGGUUUAGAACGUCGUGAGACAGUUCGGUCCCUAUCUGCCGUGGGCGCUGGAGAACUGAGGGGGGCUGCUCCUAGUACGAGAGGACCGGAGUGGACGCAUCACUGGUGUUCGGGUUGUCAUGCCAAUGGCACUGCCCGGUAGCUAAAUGCGGAAGAGAUAAGUGCUGAAAGCAUCUAAGCACGAAACUUGCCCCGAGAUGAGUUCUCCCUGACUCCUUGAGAGUCCUGAAGGAACGUUGAAGACGACGACGUUGAUAGGCCGGGUGUGUAAGCGCAGCGAUGCGUUGAGCUAACCGGUACUAAUGAACCGUGAGGCUUAACCUU